UCUGGUAGCAAGAGCGGAGAGGUCACACCUGUUCCCAUACCGAACACAGUAGUUAAGCUCUCCAGCGCCGAUGGUAGUUGAGGCUUUGCCUCCGUGAGAGUAGGACGCCGCCAGGC
rnacentral:rRNA from 1 species